rnacentral:rRNA from 1 species
AACGCUAGCUACAGGCUUAACACAUGCAAGUCGAGGGGCAGCAUGGUCUUAGCUUGCUAAGGCCGAUGGCGACCGGCGCACGGGUGAGUAACACGUAUCCAACCUGCCGUCUACUCUUGGACAGCCUUCUGAAAGGAAGAUUAAUACAAGAUGGCAUCAUGAGUCCGCAUGUUCACAUGAUUAAAGGUAUUCCGGUAGACGAUGGGGAUGCGUUCCAUUAGAUAGUAGGCGGGGUAACGGCCCACCUAGUCUUCGAUGGAUAGGGGUUCUGAGAGGAAGGUCCCCCACAUUGGAACUGAGACACGGUCCAAACUCCUACGGGAGGCAGCAGUGAGGAAUAUUGGUCAAUGGGCGAGAGCCUGAACCAGCCAAGUAGCGUGAAGGAUGACUGCCCUAUGGGUUGUAAACUUCUUUUAUAAAGGAAUAAAGUCGGGUAUGGAUACCCGUUUGCAUGUACUUUAUGAAUAAGGAUCGGCUAACUCCGUGCCAGCAGCCGCGGUAAUACGGAGGAUCCGAGCGUUAUCCGGAUUUAUUGGGUUUAAAGGGAGCGUAGAUGGAUGUUUAAGUCAGUUGUGAAAGUUUGCGGCUCAACCGUAAAAUUGCAGUUGAUACUGGAUAUCUUGAGUGCAGUUGAGGCAGGCGGAAUUCGUGGUGUAGCGGUGAAAUGCUUAGAUAUCACGAAGAAUUCCGAUUGCGAAGGCAGCCUGCUAAGCUGCAACUGACAUUGAGGCUCGAAAGUGUGGGUAUCAAACAGGAUUAGAUACCCUGGUAGUCCACACGGUAAACGAUGAAUACUCGCUGUUUGCGAUAUACUGCAAGCGGCCAAGCGAAAGCGUUAAGUAUUCCACCUGGGGAGUACGCCGGCAACGGUGAAACUCAAAGGAAUUGACGGGGGCCCGCACAAGCGGAGGAACAUGUGGUUUAAUUCGAUGAUACGCGAGGAACCUUACCCGGGCUUAAAUUGCAGAUGAAUUACGGUGAAAGCCGUAAGCCGCAAGGCAUCUGUGAAGGUGCUGCAUGGUUGUCGUCAGCUCGUGCCGUGAGGUGUCGGCUUAAGUGCCAUAACGAGCGCAACCCUUGUUGUCAGUUACUAACAGGUUCCGCUGAGGACUCUGACAAGACUGCCAUCGUAAGAUGUGAGGAAGGUGGGGAUGACGUCAAAUCAGCACGGCCCUUACGUCCGGGGCUACACACGUGUUACAAUGGGGGGUACAGAGGGCCGCUACCACGCGAGUGGAUGCCAAUCCCCAAAACCUCUCUCAGUUCGGACUGGAGUCUGCAACCCGACUCCACGAAGCUGGAUUCGCUAGUAAUCGCGCAUCAGCCACGGCGCGGUGAAUACGUUCCCGGGCCUUGUACACACCGCCCGUCAAGCCAUGGGAGCCGGGGGUACCUGAAGUGCGUAACCGCGAGGAGCGCCCUAGGGUAAAACUGGUGACUGGGGCUAAGU